rnacentral:rRNA from 1 species
GAUGAACGCUGGCGGCGUGCCUAAUACAUGCAAGUCGAGCGAAUGGAUUAAGAGCUUGCUCUUAUGAAGUUAGCGGCGGACGGGUGAGUAACACGUGGGUAACCUGCCCAUAAGACUGGGAUAACUCCGGGAAACCGGGGCUAAUACCGGAGAACAUUUUGAACCGCAUGGUGCGACAUUGAAAGGCGGCUUCGUCUGUCACUGAUGUAUUGACCCGCGUCGCAUUAGCUAGUUGGUGAGGUAACGGCUCACCAAGGCAACGAGGCGUAGCCGACCUGAGAGGGUGAUCGGCCACACUGGGACUGAGACACGGCCCAGACUCCUACGGGAGGCAGCAGUAGGGAAUCUUCCGCAAUGGACGAAAGUCUGACGGAGCAACGCCGCGUGAGUGAUGAAGGCUUUCGGGUCGUAAAACUCUGUUGUUAGGGAAGAACAAGUGCUAGUUGAAUAAGCUGGCACCUUGACGGUACCUAACCAGAAAGCCACGGCUAACUACGUGCCAGCAGCCGCGGUAA